rnacentral:rRNA from 1 species
UACAGAGGGGGCAAGCGUUGUUCGGAAUUACUGGGCGUAACGGGCGCGUAGGCGGCCUUCUAAGUCGAACGUGAAAUCCCCGGGCUCAACCCGGGAACUGCGUCCGAUACUGGAAGGCUUGAAUCCGGGAGAGGGAUGUGGAAUUCCAGGUGUAGCGGUGAAAUGCGUAGAUAUCUGGAGGAACACCGGUGGCGAAGGCGACAUCCUGGACCGGUAUUGACACUGAGGCGCGAAAGCCAGGGGAGCAAACGGG